GGAAUAUAAAAACUCGUCUCUUAACUUUUAACUAAAAAAGCUAAGAACCGGUUCUUAAAACUCUUAUUUAAGAACCGGUUUUUAGCUUUUUAGUUAAAAAUUAAGAGACGGGUUCUUAUAUUCC
rnacentral:pre_miRNA from 1 species